CAGAGAAUAGUUUAUUAAAAUUUUAAUUUUGGAGAUUAAAGAUAAGAAGUUAUUCUUUUCUCUGA
rnacentral:tRNA from 1 species